rnacentral:rRNA from 1 species
UUUUUCCCCCCCGGGGACAGCAUAUCAAUAAGCGGAGRMRRRGAARMMMACAGGGAUUGCCCUAGUAACGGCGAGUGAAGCGGCAACAGCUCAAAUUUGAAAUCUGGCGUCUUUGGCGUCCGAGUUGUAAUUUGCAGAGGGCGCUUUGGCAUUGGCAGCGGUCCAAGUUCCUUGGAACAGGACGUCACAGAGGGUGAGAAUCCCGUACGUGGUCGCUAGCCUUUACCGUGUAAAGCCCCUUCGACGAGUCGAGUUGUUUGGGAAUGCAGCUCUAAAUGGGAGGUAAAUUUCUUCUAAAGCUAAAUACUGGCCAGAGACCGAUAGCGCACAAGUAGAGUGAUCGAAAGAUGAAAAGCACUUUGGAAAGAGAGUUAAAAAGCACGUGAAAUUGUUGAAAGGGAAGCGCUUGCAGCCAGACUUGCCUGUAGUUGCUCAUCCGGGUUUUUACCCGGUGCACUCUUCUAUAGGCAGGCCAGCAUCAGUUUGGGCGGUUGGAUAAAGGUCUCUGUCACGUACCUCCUCUCGGGGAGAACUUAUAGGGGAGACGUAAUGCAACCAGCCUGGACUGAGGUCCGCGCAUCUGCUAGGAUGCUGGCGUAAUGGCUGUAAGCGGCCCGUCUUGAAACACGGACCAAGGAGUCUAACAUCUAUGCGAGUGUUUGGGUGUCAAGCCCGAGCGCGUAAUGAAAGUGAACGGAGGUGGGAACCUUUCGGGGUGCACCAUCGACCGAUCCUGAUGUCUUCGGAUGGAUUUGAGUAAGAGCAUAGCUGUUGGGACCCGAAAGAUGGUGAACUAUGCUUGAAUAGGGUGAAGCCAGAGGAAACUCUGGUGGAGGCUCGCAGCGGUUCUGACGUGCAAAUCGAUCGUCAAAUUUGGGCAUAGGGGCGAAAGACUAAUCGARCWWYCWAGKMSCWGGUUCUGCGUGUUCCUCCCCCUCCCGAAAAAA